AGAACGAACGCUGGCGGCAUGCCUAACACAUGCAAGUCGAACGAGACCUUCGGGUCUAGUGGCGCACGGGUGCGUAACGCGUGGGAAUCUGCCCUGGGGUACGGAACAACAGUUAGAAAUGACUGCUAAUACCGUAUGAUGACGUAAGUCCAAAGAUUUAUCGCCCUGGGAUGAGCCCGCGUAGGAUUAGCUUGUUGGUGAGGUAAAGGCUCACCAAGGCGACGAUCCUUAGCUGGUCUGAGAGGAUGAUCAGCCACACUGGGACUGAGACACGGCCCAGACUCCUACGGGAGGCAGCAGUGGGGAAUAUUGGACAAUGGGCGAAAGCCUGAUCCAGCAAUGCCGCGUGAGUGAUGAAGGCCCUAGGGUUGUAAAGCUCUUUACCCGGGAUGAUAAUGACAGUACCGGGAGAAUAAGCCCCGGCUAACUCCGUGCCAGCAGCCGC
rnacentral:rRNA from 1 species